rnacentral:rRNA from 1 species
UACGUAGGGUGCAAGCGUUUGUCCGGGAAUUAUUGGGCGUAAAGAGCUCGUAGGCGGCUUGUCACGUCGGGUGUGAAAGCCCGGGGCUUAACCCCGGGUCUGCAUCCGAUACGGGCAGGCUAGAGUGUGGUAGGGGAGAUCGGAAUUCCUGGUGUAGCGGUGAAAUGCGCAGAUAUCAGGAGGAACACCCGUGGCGAAGGCGGCUCUCUGGGACGGUACUGACGCUGAGGAGCGAAAGCAUGGGGAGCGAACAGG